rnacentral:misc_RNA from 1 species
AAGUCGUAACAAGGUUUCCGUAGGUGAACCUGCGGAAGGAUCAUUAAUGAAUGAUAAUUUUUUGGGGUUUUCCCUGAAAAAUAAUCCACCAUUUGUGCAUUGUUAUUUAGAUAUACUUUGGUUAGAGCUUUGAUUUCAUUUAUUGGAAUCAACUUCUUGCUGACUCUAUCCUUUCUGAGGACAGUUGGCUAUGAAGCGGCCUACCAAGGUUUUUUAUCAAACUCUUGUAUUUUGUCUGACCUAAACUACUAUAAUUAAAUCAUAACUUUCAACAACGGAUCUCUUGGCUCUC